rnacentral:rRNA from 1 species
UACGUAGGGGGCGAGCGUUGUCCGGAUUUAUUGGGCGUAAAGAGCGUGUAGGCGGUUCGGUAAGUCUGUCGUGAAAUCCCGAGGCUCAACCUCGGGCGUGCGAUGGAUACUGCCGGGCUAGAGUGCGGAAGAGGCGAGUGGAAUUCCUGGUGUAGCGGUGAAAUGCGCAGAUAUCAGGAGGAACACCAAUUGCGAAGGCAGCUCGCUGGGACGUAACUGACGCUGAGACGCGAAAGCGUGGGGAGCAAACAGG